GAUGAACGCUAGCGGCAGGCCUAAUACAUGCAAGUCGGACGGGAUUGCGGAGCUUGCUCCGCAUGAGAGUGGCGCACGGGUGCGUAACACGUAUGUAACCUACCCUUGUCAGGGGGAUAGCCUCUCGAAAGAGAGAUUAAGACCGCAUAACAUUAAGAUGUGGCAUCACAAUUUAAUCAAAUAUUUAUAGGACAAGGAUGGGCAUGCGGAACAUUAGCUAGUUGGUGAGGUAACGGCUCACCAAGGCUACGAUGUUUAGGGGAUCUGAGAGGAUGACCCCCCACACUGGUACUGAGACACGGACCAGACUCCUACGGGAGGCAGCAGUAAGGAAUAUUGGUCAAUGGACGGAAGUCUGAACCAGCCAUGCCGCGUGCAGGAAGACGGCCCUAUGGGUUGUAAACUGCUUUUGCAGGGGAAUAAACCUCAUUACGUGUACGGGACUGACGGUACCUAAAGAAUAAGGAUCGGCUAACUCCGUGCCAGCCGCCGCCGUAACAC
rnacentral:rRNA from 1 species